GGAGGUUUUGCUUGUAGUGAAAACUGUCCAGUUCUUUUCUCACCAUGGUAUAUUCAGCUAUCAGGGACGUGCCUUUGGCUGAUGAAGAAGAGAAUUGUUCAUCAGUCCUUGUGUCCCUGGGAUUGCACCAGUGUGUUUUGCAUGAACGUUAUUCACCGAUGGCAAUUUGGCAACUUUGUUUGACUUGCUGCUGCUGCUGCUGUUUAUGCUGCUUGAACCAGGUGGGCACUUUCUUUUCUUCCCU
rnacentral:lncRNA from 1 species